UACGUAGGGGGCAAGCGUUGUCCGGAAUCAUUGGGCGUAAAGCGUGUGUAGGCGGAAUUGUAAGUACCUUGUGAAAUCCCACGGCUCAACCGUGGAACUGCUCGGUAUACUGCUUUUCUUGAGCCACUUAGGGGCUGUCGGAACAAACGGUGGAGCGGUGAAAUGCGUAGAUAUCGUUUGGAACGCCAAUGGUGAAAACAGACAGCUGGGAGUGUGCUGACGCUGAGACACGAAAGCCAGGGGAGCGAACGGG
rnacentral:rRNA from 1 species